AAGCUUAUCCAUUGCACUCUGGAUGUGCUGGUUUCCCAGGGCAAGCUUAUCCAUUGCACCCUGGAUGUGCUGACCCCUGCGAUUUCCCCAAAUGUGGGAAACCUGCCUGUAUAGUUUGUGGUAGUGGGGAAUUGUGUCCAUGCUCUCCCCU
rnacentral:snRNA from 11 species